rnacentral:rRNA from 1 species
UCUUAGAGUUUGAUCCUGGCUCAAGAUGAACGCUGGCGGCGUGCUUAACACAUGCAAGUCGAACGAAGCACUUUAUUUGAUUUCCUUCGGGACUGAUUAUUUUGUGACUGAGUGGCGGACGGGUGGGUAACGCGUGGGUAACCUGCCUUGUACAGGGGGAUAACAGUUGGAAACGGCUGCUAAUACCGCAUAAGCGCACAGCAUCGCAUGAUGCAGUGUGAAAAACUCCGGUGGUAUAAGAUGGACCCGCGUUGGAUUAGCUAGUUGGUGAGGUAACGGCCCACCAAGGCGACGAUCCAUAGCCGACCUGAGAGGGUGACCGGCCACAUUGGGACUGAGACACGGCCCAAACUCCUACGGGAGGCAGCAGUGGGGAAUAUUGCACAAUGGGCGAAAGCCUGAUGCAGCGACGCCGCGUGAGCGAAGAAGUAUUUCGGUAUGUAAAGCUCUAUCAGCAGGGAAGAUAAUGACGGUACCUGACUAAGAAGCACCGGCUAAAUACGUGCCAGCAGCCGCGGUAAUACGUAUGGUGCAAGCGUUAUCCGGAUUUACUGGGUGUAAAGGGGGCGCAGGCGGUGCGGCAAGUCUGAUGUGAAAGCCCGGGGCUCAACCCCGGUACUGCAUUGGAAACUGUCGUACUAGAGUGUCGGAGGGGUAAGCGGAAUUCCUAGUGUAGCGGUGAAAUGCGUAGAUAUUAGGAGGAACACCAGUGGCGAAGGCGGCUUACUGGACGAUAACUGACGCUGAGGCUCGAAAGCGUGGGGAGCAAACAGGAUUAGAUACCCUGGUAGUCCACGCCGUAAA